AUUAAAUAGUUGACAUCGAGAAAACAAAUGAAACCAAAUGUUUCCCCAGCAAACAAAUAUCAGAAAACAACAAGUGAUCAACAAAACCACGUCCACAUUAAAAUUAAAACUAGACUCCCAAAAAAAAAAAAAACAAACUGAGAAGAAAAAACCAAACAACACUACAGUUUCUCCCUUGAAACCCUAAAGCCAUGAAUCCAACUGAUAAACCUCUCUAAAAACCAGCAACCAACCAACUGCAUGAAUUGACAGUAAAUUUCCUUAGAGAGUGAAGAUUUGGUACAUCAUCGGAGUGAAAAAAUAGCAUAUUCCGAAACCCAAAUACAAGAAAUCAGAUUAGGUCCACUGCGACCAUUCUCUCCACCAUCUUCGGUGCCUUUUUAACCCAGCAUCUUUCCUCUGAGAACCAGGGUCCCUCCCUAGCCAAUACAUGUGCCGCAACAUUUGCCUCCCUUAUUGCAUUAAGAAAGUUAAUCCUAUCAAAAAAUCUCAACCUUCCUUUUAUAUCUUCAACAAUCGGGCGCAAUGUAGAUCUGUCAACUGUGCAGGAGUUUACUUGUUUGACAAUCGUCAACGAAUCGCCUUCAAUCUGAACACAUCGAAACCUAAGGUCAAAAGCAAAUCGGAUUGCUUGUUCACAUGCUCGGGCAUCAGCAACAAAAACAUCUUCAAUAUUAACAAUUGGGGGACACUAUAGUUUCAGAGCGUUCAAAGUUUUGCAUGUGACUGAGCAGAAAUGCAGCAAGUGGUCUACUAUUUUCACACAAAAGGCAAACAUUAGGAAUGUGUAUGUUUCGUUUGUUUAGAUUAACAUACAUAGGAAGGAAAUCAUUGUAUAUUCUUCACAUUGCUAUCUUGAUUUUCCCUGGUAUUUGUAACGCCCACAAUUCUGUAUAGAAUGUUGUAAUAGCUUUGUUAUUCGGGUAAGGCUAGCUCCCAAGUUCUAUAAUUUUUCAUGUAAAAGUAGCUUGUUCCCACUCUUAACUGUAUAAACCCUUAUCCCUUCAUGCCUCCAAAUCAUGGUAUCUGCUGGUCUCAUCUUAGCAAGCGGGAGUUCAGCUUGAUCAACAUCAGCAAAUACACGAAUAAUGUCUUCCCUUCAGCCAUCCCCAGGUCACGGAAUCCAUGGUUCGUUCUAGAUAUUCACAGUGUCUCCGGUGCCAAUACACCAACCUAAACUCUUUUCAAGUAAUCCUCUCGCGUUCAGAAUGCUUCUCUAGCUAAGAGAAGGGUGAGUACCCAACCUAGCUUAUUGAAACACAGUAUGUGUGUAAUAUCAUACUUUUAAUACCUUAACUAAUAAGCAGUCUGGCUGAGUCAAAA